UUAACCCCUCGAGGCGUGUGGACCGCUGCUCCGACUGGAACCCUGGGGCGUCCGGCGACCCCCUCGCCCCACCCUCCGAUGCGUGGCCCUUUUCUUCAUUCAUAUCUCGACUCAAACGUCAGCAAGGCUGCCUUCGGCCUGUGUAACGCCGUUUGCCUCCCCUCCCCAUCAUGACGCCGCACUGUAGUUAUUUUCUUCAUGCCUCAAACCACUCAAAUCGUGCUUGUCGUGUGAGGUGUUUCCCUAGCUAGACAGCAAGCUCGGGAGGGCAGGGGGCCGGCCUGGAACCAGGUUGCUCACUUUAGAUGUGUUGAAUGAAUGGGGGUCGCGGGGAAGGGAUCUUCCCCGCUGUAUCUUCGGCCCUGCACCAGCCCGGGCGCCGACGGUUCGUACGUUCGCCUGAACCGUCCCCUCAGGCCACCACGGCGAGUCCCUCCAGCUCUGGGCGGCUGCCCGUCUGACCUUCCCCGCGGCGCUCGCACCACCCCAGUUAAGGUCUCUUUGCGGUUUGGGGAGCUGAAGGGGACGGCUGGAGCUCUAGAAAGAUUUCGGGUUGGCCCGAAUCUUCUGAGCGCCUCGUGCCUCGACGGGGGACGCUUAACGGUGAAGGGAAGGCGAGUGGGAAACCAGGGCCUGGGCAUGCAGAGCAGGAGGAAGAGGGGGCGAAGGGAGGCAAGACGGCCAGGAAAAGGAGCUGAGUGGCACAUUAACCUUCCACUUGCCGCCUCUGGCGCCCGUUGACCUUAGCAGGGAGAAGGGCUAGCGCCGGCUCUGCGCAGGCGCGCGAGAGCGUUCCGCCCCCCGCUGCCGGGCGGGGCUCACCGCCUCAGCCCUUCAGCAACGUUCUCCCCAGUGGGCGACCCCCGUCAGGGGGCCUGGAGAGCCACAAUUCUUCUAGUGUAAUAGCCCCCACCAGCGGUGGUGGCGCCUGCCCGUGCCAGAGGCGCCGGGCUCGCCCAUCCGAAGGUCCCUGGGGCGUCGGACUCAGUUUCGCCGAACCCAGGACCCAGCGGGCCAGACCCGCGUGCUCGGGCCCCCUGCCUGGGCUCUGGCUACGCGGGCUACUCGGCCACUUUGUGACCGUGCGGGGCGCGGAGUUGGGAGCAGGGAGGCCUGUGGGCAGUGAGGUAGUGAAGCCCGAGGCCGCUGGGAGCUGGCACCUGACGUGUUCUUCCCAUCCCUCCUUUAAUCACUCAUUCCCCAGCUCUCUCCCAGCCCCCGACCUUUAUUCUCAUUCCAGACACUUCCAGCCCAACGGCAGGCGACGAACCCACGUGGGGUGGCGAGAUCCGAAAGUUUCCAGCUAUGAACGAUCCACUGCUCCAACUAGGCAGGAGCAAAGACAGCCACAACAGAAAUUGGCUUUGGAGAGGAGUGAUUGGAUGCUGAGGGCAAAUGAUUUGCUACUUACUGACCUCGACUGCUGUGAGUGAAUUCUAGUAAACAAGAAAACAUGUACCAUGUACUACACCACCUGUGGAAUUUGGUGUGCCAAGGGAGCCAGGCUGUGGUCCAGCCCCACCAAUGGCUUGGUAGGUGAACUCAAGUAAGCCAUGCAAUCUGUACUGAAUAUCCUGGUACAAUCUGGGAACAGUUGUGUCUCCUGGCCCAAGGUAGCCUGCUAUUAAACAAGACAGUGCUCUAUGCCCUUUUAGGGAUGCUAUGAAAUUUUACAGUAUGAUGACAGCCUGUUUAGGCUUAUUAUGCCUUACUGACUUGUGCAACUGUUGGCAACCCACUUCUCUCUGGAUUCGUAUCCUCCAACUGUAAAAUAAGGGGACUGGAUCAGGUCAGUGUUUACAAACUGUAUUUGUAGAGCCCAAGAGAGUCCAGAGAGGUGGCAGGUGACGUGAUAGGAUUCACCCCUCAAUCUGUGCACGCUCUGGAGGUAGGCCGUCUGGAUUCUGAGAAAUUAUUAACCUCCUUGUAUCUUUUUCUAGUCACAUAUAAAAUUACUACAAUGGUAGAACCUACCUUACAGAAUUAGGAGUCAAUAAAUAAAUAUACUUAGAGCAAUGCCUGGCAUAUAGCCAGCCCUUAACAAAUUAUAAUUGCCAAAAAUUAGUAUCAGCAAUUUCAUAAUGAUUCAACCUAACACACAGACACACAAAGAGCUUCUGUGUAAGAUACUUUUUAAUUUUUUUUAAAUAAUGGAGGUACUGGGAUUGAAACUGGGACCUUGUACAUGCUAAGUGUGCACUCUUAACACUGAGCUACAUCCUCCCCCCGUGUAAGAUACUUUUUGAAGACACAACUCUACAUAUUAAAAAAAAAAAGUUGAAAGAAAAAAUUGG